CGUAGGUGGCGAGCGUUGUCCGGAAUUACUGGGUGUAAAGGGCGUGUAGGCGGGACUGUUAAGUCAGAUGUGAAAUUCCAGGGCUUAACUCUGGAGCUGCAUCUGAAACUAUGGUUCUUGAGUGCUGGAGAGGAAAGCGGAAUUCCUAGUGUAGCGGUGAAAUGCGUAGAUAUUAGGAGGAACACCAGUGGCGAAGGCGGCUUUCUGGACAGUAACUGACGCUGAGGCGCGAAAGCGUGGGGAGCAAACAGGAUUAGAUACCCUGGUAGUCCACGCUGUAAACGAUGGAUACUAGGUGUAGGAGGUAUCGACCCCCUUCUGUGCCGCAGUUAACACAAUAAGUAUCCCACCUGGGGAGUACGGCCGCAAGGUUG
rnacentral:rRNA from 1 species